GUGGCUCAGUUCAGAUCGUAGGCUGCAACUCGCCUACGUGAAGGCGGAAUCGCUAGUAAUCGCAGGUCAGCAUACUGCGGUGAAUACGUUCCCGGGCCUUGUACACACCGCCCGUCACACCAUGGAAGUUGGCCACGCCCGAAGCCGUUACUCCAACCCUUGUGGAGGAGGACGUCGAAGGUGGGGCUGAUGACUGGGGUGAAGUCGUAACAAGGUAUCCGUACCGGAAGGUGCGGAUGGAUCACCUCCUAACAGGGAGACAACACAAUGAUUUUGAUGCCUGAGUGCUUUUAUUCUUAGGCCGAAAUCCUGUCACCUUAGGUCGAUCGGUACCUCAGCUUUGAAGUUAAGGAUCAGCAGCAAUGUUGAUUGCUUGAUGGAGAUUUUCAGUUCCUAAACUUUGUCUAGGUCACACCCCAAAAGGGAUGAGACUCCUGGGCCAUUAGCUCAGGUGGUUAGAGCGCACCCCUGAUAAGGGUGAGGUCCCUGGUUCAAGUCCAGGAUGGCCCAUUCGGUGUUGGGGGUUUAGCUCAGUUGGUAGAGCGCCUGCUUUGCAAGCAGGAUGUCAGGAGUUCGAGUCUCCUAACCUCCACUGACCGAACUUGAUUCCCAUCUCCAAUUCUUUUGGAGUUGAGCUCGAUUGGAGUGUGAUUUAGAUGUGUCCGCUGGAUGACCCCAGCUUCCUGUCAUUCCAAGUUUUAGGUUGAAGCCUUGAAUUUGGUUGAUAAGAUGCUGGGCUCG
rnacentral:misc_RNA from 1 species